CACGUAGGGCGCAAGCGUUGUCCGGAAUUAUUGGGCGUAAAGAGCUCGUAGGCGGCCUGUUGCGUCCGCUGUGAAAUCCCGGGGCUCAACCCCGGGCCUGCAGUGGAUACGGGCUGGCUAGAGGCAGGCAGGGGAGAACGGAAUUCCUGGUGUAGCGGUGAAAUGCGCAGAUAUCAGGAGGAACACCCGUGGCGAAGGCGGCUCUCUGGGACGGUACUGACGCUGAGACGCGAAAGCGUGGGGAGCGAACAGG
rnacentral:rRNA from 1 species